rnacentral:rRNA from 1 species
GACGAACGCUGGCGGCGUGCUUAACACAUGCAAGUCGAACGGAAAGGCCCGGCUUUUGUGGGGUGCUCGUGUGGCGAACGGGUGAGUAACACGCGUGUAACCUGUCCUUGACUUUGGGAUAACUUCUGGAAACUGGGGCUAAUACAGGGUAGGAGAUCCCGCUCCACGGUGUGGGUUGGAAAGAUUCGGCGGUUGGGGAUGGACUAGCGGCUCAUCAGCUUGUUGGUGGGGUAGUGGCUUACCAAGGCUUUGACGGGUAGCCGGCCUGAGAGGGUGACCGGCCACAUUGGGACUGAGAUACGGCCCAGACUCCUACGGGAGGCAGCAGUGGGGAAUAUUGCACAAUGGGCGGAAGCCUGAUGCAGCAACGCCGCGUGCGGGAUGACGGCCUUCGGGUUGUAAACCGCUUUCGCCUGUGACGAAGCGUGAGUGACGGUAAUGGGUAAAGAAGCACCGGCUAACUACGUG